rnacentral:lncRNA from 1 species
CCCGCCCGCGGUCCCGCCGGUGCCCACCGGUCUCCACCCUACCUGUGCGUCCAGCCCUGCGAAGUCCGCCACCCGGGCGCCCGGUGCCAACGGUCCCUAAUGUGACCAGGGCUGACUGCAGGGCGGGGUGACCCCAGUCCCUGGUGGGGCUCAGUUCUGAGGGACAGCCCUGGAGUGAGUCUAUCCCGUGCCUUCCGCCCACUCCCACGGACGGCGCCGCCGACUCCGGGGCCGAGCAGCUUCACACUGAGGCGAGCCGGCCCGGAGCCGAGGGCGAGGGCCACACACCCCCUGGCGGCCCGCCCGCAGGGCACAAAAAGGUUUAGAGGUGGGACGCACAGAGGGGGGCGGGAGGGAACCGGACGUGACACCACAAGGAAGCUGCGGCGGACGAUUAGCCACGGCGGAAGCCGGUGCCUCAGUAAUUCCGGCGCGCCAGUGCGGACGAGCCGCUAAGCAGCGCCCCCUGCAGGCACACAUUGGCACCUUCCGGGCCGUCCCACCGCGGCCCGCCAGAGCCGGCGUCGGGCCGUCGGCACCUUCCGUUCUGUUCGGCUGCCGACCGCGGGGCGGAGGCGCGUUACUGUUGCACUGCCGCACCCCCUUGUGGCCUCCCGUUGGCAACGAACGUUCCACCACUCCAGGGCCGGUGAUGCGGAACGAAGACAAAAGCGCUUACUAACGCACACACGGAACAACCCCCCAGCACCGUACCGUCGGAAUCUUGGAUAAUGCCGAGUCACGAGGUUCCGCCUUCAGGCCACAGGAUGCUGGAUUUGGCGUUUGAGCGCUGGGAUUGGCAACUGGCUGCCGGAAGCCUUCCCGGAGUCUGUAUCACGGAAAGGUUCUUCCUCAGCUGGAGAUCUGCCCUCCAAACUGUACUUGUUAUCAAACCUUCAUCCGCUUUUUCUUGGUUGAAAGUCAGUAAGGUUUGAAGGUCUCCUUCAAAUCUUAUUCAGAAUGGCUGUGAGCCACCAUGUGGUUGCUGGGAAUUGAACUCAGGAUCUUUGGAAGAGCAGGCUCUUAACCGCUGAGCCAUCUCUCCAGCGCCAAGCUAGGUCUUCUUGCAUAUUAGACAGGAUUUCUCUGUGUAGCUGUGGCUGAAGGUGGGUUUAAAGGAAAACCCAGAUAAAUGAUUAUCAGGUAUUUAUUAGGAGAGCCCUCACACAAUGGCGAUAAACAACCGCCUCGGUCUUCCUGCUCCUGAAGAUGCAGUCUCUGCCCUUCCGGAUACUCCGACCACAACCCUAGAGAGUGAGCCAGCCCCUUCUCUUCCUUAUAAGGGGUCAUGUCCACACACUUGGAGCCACACCCCUAGGAUGCGGCCACCACCAUAAGUCCACUGGCAAAACAAGAUGUCACUACACAUGGCUGUCCUGGAACUUGCUCUGUAGACCAGGCAGACUGGCCUUGAACUCACUGAGAUCUGCCUGCCUCUACCUCCCAAAUGCUGGGAUUAAAGGUGUGCCUGGGGUUAAACGUUGAGUGGACACCAUGUCUAGGCCUCCAGCAAUGUCUAAAGGGCUGCUGUGAUCCUCU